UCGUCUUUGUUGGAUCACCGAUCCUUUGUGUCGCUAGCUGAUUAAAAAACAUUAUGUUUACUGAAUUAAAUUUAUAGAUAGGAUAUCAUUUGGCCUUCAGGAAACCGGCAACUGUGCAAUGGCAUAACUGAUUAAUGAAUCAGUUCGUUUAUUCAUAAUGAACCCUCGGAAUUGUUUUACAAAUAGAUUGUAAUGAAUAAAUUAUUUAUGCUUUCAGUUUAACUCACUGUGGGUCCAGUCGGUUUUUUAGCUGCUGCAGGUUUAGCUGUAGGUGGCUUAGUAACAGCAGCCUUAGUAGUGGUGGGGGUUGUAGCUGGGGCCUUAGCUGCCGCUGGCGCAGGGGCAGCGGCAGGAGUGGGAGCAGUGGCAGCGGCAGGAACUGGAGCUGCGGCUGGAGCGGCCGCAGGAGCAGCUUUAGAUGGAGCUUCUCCAGUAACAUCAACCUGCACACAAGCUGAGCAAGAUAUCUUCAUAUUGGCCUGAAGUACAACCCUAUGAAGUUUGGUAGUGGUGGGAUUGAAGUCAAAUCAAAGAACGCCGCGGCAAACCCUGGCUUACAGCGACCGAACGACGUUUUGGAAAAAGGGGCAAUUGAAAAGUUGUAAAUAAAUUAAACUAUCAGUUCAUAA